GUAGGGAAUAUUGGGCAAUGGAUGCAAGUCUGACCCAGCCAUCCCGCGUGCCGGAAGAAGGCCCUCAGGGUUGUAAACGGCUUUUGACGGUGAAGAAUCGACAGGAUGCGUCCUGUUUUGACGGUAGCCGUUGAAUAAGCACCGGCUAACUCCGUGCCAGCAGCCGCGGUAAUACGGAGGGUGCGAGCGUUGUUCGGAAUCACUGGGCGUAAAGGGAGCGUAGGCGGCGUGGUAAGUCAGAUGUGAAAUCCCGGGGCUCAACCCCGGAACUGCAUCCGAUACUGCCGUGCUAGAGGAUUGGAGAGGUAGCUGGAAUUCUUGGUGUAGCAGUGAAAUGCGUGGAGAUCUGGAGGAAUACCGAUGGCGAAGGCAGCCAUCUGGCCUAAUACUGACACUGAGGUGCGAAAGCAUGGGGAGCAAACAGGAUUAGAUACCCUAGUAGUCC
rnacentral:rRNA from 1 species